ensembl:lncRNA
AUAUGGGGGAUUGGAAAUGAUGCAGACAAUUACAUUGGAAGCAACAUUCUUUCCGCAAUAUUAAGCUGAUCCACCCUCUGAGAAAAAAAACACAAAAAAACGUGUUAAACGUUUCUACUCAACGACAUCAAAAGUUUAAACAUUUUAACCUCUACGUGAUCUCCAGCCGCCCCUCCCCCCGCUGGACGGUCUUAUAUGGGCAGAAAGCUUAAAUUCUUGUUAAUCCAACUGCACUGUCCAAUUUACAGUAGCUAGCACAGUGAAAAAAUACCAUGCUAUUGUUUGAGGAGAGUGCACAACUUUUAUUACGGCAACUGGUUUGAUGCAUUCGCCUCUGAAGGUAAAUAAUGUACUCAAGUCAUCUUGCUCUGAUUUGUCAUCCUGAGGGUACCAGAGAUAAAAUGUAGCACAGUUUUGUUUGAUAAAAUACAUUUUUAUAUGAAAAUGUAGGAACUGGGUUCUACACUUUGAAUCCAUGCUGUGUCUGCCCCCCCAUCUAACUCAAGGUUGGUGUAUUUUCUGCAGGGAAGCUAAUUGUAACGGAUGUGAAACGGCUAGCUUAGUUAGCGGUGCGCGCUAAAUAGCGUUUCAAUCGGUGACGCCACUUGCUCUGAGACCUUGAAGUAGUGGUUCCCCUUGCUCUGCAAGGGCCACGGCUUUUGUGGAGCGAUGGGUAACGAUGCUUCGAGGGUGACUGUUGUUGAUGUGUGCAGAGGGUCCCUGGUUCGCGCCCGGGUAUGGGCGAGGGGACGGUCUAAAGUUAUACUGUUACAUUGGUGCCGUGACCCGGAUCACUGGUUGCUGCGGAAAAGGAGGUCAAAAGGGGGGUGAGUGUAACGGAUGUGAAAUGGCUAGCUUAGUUAGCGGUGCACGCUAAAUAGUGUUUCAAUCGGUGACGUCACUUGCUCUGAGACCUUGAAGUAAUGGUUCCCCUUGCUCUGCAAGGGCCGCGGCUUUUGUGGAGCGAUGGGUAACGAUGCUUCGAGGGUGACUGUUGUUGAUGUGUGCAGAGAGUCCCUGGUUCGCGCCCGGGUAUGGGUGAGGGGACGGUCUAAAGUUAUACUGUUACAUAAUUAUCCAUCAUUUAUGACAUUACUGAGAGUAUAAACUUAAAUGUAUUAUCAUAUUUGUAUGUUCUCUAAAGUUUUGUACUUAAAUGUAUCAAUUGACCAAUUUGUAACAUUUGGGCGGACUUGAUACAUUUUGAACAGUAAUGCAAUGGUUCAUUAGAUUAGUCUAAAACAUUGCAAAUACAGUGCUGUUGUCUAGUGGCCAAAAUCUAAAUUGCGCCUGGAGUCCUAAGUGAUAUAAUGGCGUACUCUUGCAUUUCAAAGAUGGAACAACAAAUAGAAAAUGCAUGUUUUUUUGUUUUAUCUUAUUCCAGGUCCAAUGUGUGUUAUUAUCCUACAUUCAUUUCAUAUUUCCACAAACAUAAGUGUUUCCUUUCAAAUGCUAUCAAGAAUAUGCAUAUCCUUGCUUCAGGUUCUGAGCUACAGGCAGUUCGAUUUGGGUUUGUAAUUUUAGGUGAAAAUUGAGGGAAAAAAUGAUUUUCAAAUACUGAUUCAAGGUGAUGUGACGUGUGAGGAAAUACCCUCCCUUGGUCUAAAGUUGUUGCAGGUUAUGAAAAUGUACUUUUAAUCCUACCCUGUGAUGUCAGACAAGCAUUGUUGAAGGACCUAAUCCUUUUUAACCACAGAUCAUAGAAAAGCUCUGUUCACGUGUAGAUACUGGUUUGGUGCUGGAGUUGAUGAAUGAGGUUAUUGGCAGAAUUGUCCUUUAAUCCAUAGACUUGGAAAUGAGUCUACACCAAUGAUUUAUUUAAAUGAACAAAAAUAAACACAACACGUAAAGUGUUGGUCUCAUUUUCAUGAGCUGAAACAAAAGAUCCCAGGGAUGUUCCAUAUGCACAAAGCUUAUUUCUGUCAUUUGUUAGUGAGUAUUUCUCCUUUGCAAGAUAAACAUCCACUUGACAGGUGUGGCAUAUAAAGAAGCUGAUUAAACAGCAUGAUCAUUACACAGGUGCACCUUGUGCUGGGGACAAUUAAAAGCCACUCGAAAGUGGAAUACUGCCAAAGAUGUCUCAAGUUUUGAGAGAGUGUGCAAUUGGCAUGCCGAUAUCAGGAAUGUCCAACGGAGCUGUUGCCAGAGAAUGUAAUGUUAAUUUCUUUACCAUAAGCCGCCUCCAAUGUCAUUUUAGAGAAUUUGGCAGUACAUCCAACCGGCUUUGCAACCAC